GAUGAACGCUGGCGGCGUGCCUAAUACAUGCAAGUCGAGCGAACGGACGAGAAGCUUGCUUUUCUGAUGUUAGCGGCGGACGGGUGGGUAACACGUGGAUAACCUACCUAUAAGACUGGGAUAACUUCGGGAAACCGGAGCUAAUACCGGAUAAUAUUUUGAACCGCAUGGUUCAUAAGUGAAAGACGGUCUUGCUGUCACUUAUAGAUGGAUCCGCGCUGCAUUAGCUAGUUGGUAAGGUAACGGCUUACCAAGGCAACGAUGCAUAGCCGACCUGAGAGGGUGAUCGGCAACACUGGAACUGAGACACGGUCCAGACUCCUACGGGAGGCAGCAGUAGGGAAUCUUCCGCAAUGGGCGAAAGCCUGACGGAGCAACGCCGCGUGAGUGAUGAAGGUCUUCGGAUCGUAAAACUCUGUUAUUAGGGAAGAACAUAUGUGUAAGUAACUGUGCACAUCUUGACGGUACCUAAUCAGAAAGCCACGGCUAACUACGUG
rnacentral:rRNA from 1 species